UACGUAGGGGGCCAGCGUUGUCCGGAUUCAUUGGGCGUAAAGGGUGCGUAGGCGGUUCGUUAAGUCAGAUGUGAAAGCCCCGGGCUCAACCUAGGAACUGCAUUUGAAACUGGCGGGCUUGAGUGUGGCAGAGGGGGGUGAAAUUCCGCGUGUAGCAGUGAAAUGCGUAGAGAUGCGGAGGAACACCGAUGGCGAAGGCAGCCCCUGGGCCAACACUGACGCUCAGGCACGAAGCGUGGGGAGCAAACAGG
rnacentral:rRNA from 1 species